rnacentral:rRNA from 1 species
UCGUGCCUACGGGUGUCAGCAUUUGUUCCUAUUGCACAAUUUUUGAAACCCUGAUGCAGCGACGCCGCGUGAGUGAAGAAGUAUUUCGGUAUGUAAAGCUCUAUCAGCAGGGAAGAAAAAAGACGGUACCUGACUAAGAAGCCCCGGCUAACUACGUGCCAGCAGCCGCGGUAAUACGUAGGGGGCAAGCGUUAUCCGGAUUUACUGGGUGUAAAGGGAGCGUAGACGGCGCGGCAAGUCUGAAGUGAAAGGCAGGGGCUUAAACCCAGAACUGCUUUGGAAACUGCCAUGCUAGAGUGCUGGAG